CCAAACGCGAAUACCCUCUCGUCUCUCUCCCGAUUCGCUCUUUCCAAACCCUAUCCUAAUUCCAUCGCCGCCACCCACACGACUCUCCCAUUCUCGAUCUGCUCCGGCACGUCCACUCCCAAGCCUCUUCCUCUACAGCGCCCCUCUCCCUCAACUUCCCCUUGCUCUGGCUCUCUCUCUCAUGGCGGGGACUAACAACAGCGCCGGAGUAGCCGGUGAAGAUCCCCAAGAAGCGGUAUGAUGGGUUGGUCUGAAAGGAGCACUGCAUGGGGAAGUGCCUCCUCAAGAUCUCAACACUUGGCUCACCGGCGACAACAUGCCCUGCCACAUGGUCUUCAUACGAAGGUCCAUAUCAUGGCGGAUAUUCGCUCAUGGUCUUGACUGAAUCUCGGUAACUGAAUUCAUGGGGAUUGAUAUGUUUGCCGAUUGGCGUGAUGACGGAUGGUGUGGAUAAGAAUGGGAAGCCGUACAACCUGCGGCUCCACCUCCAUUCCAUCCCCACUAGGGAGCUGUGGGACUCGGGGCAUUCUGUACAUCCGCCUGCUGCCCCACCACAACUGAUAACCACGAUGCAGGGUUACUGCGGUGCUCCAUCUCUGCUCCAUGAGGUCUCAUGCUUCGUCAUCCUCUAGGUAUCAAUCCGUAAACGGAUAAAGGACACUGUUGAAUUACCCCUUUCUCCGUGCUAUUGUAAAGUACACAUGCCUCCCCUUUGACCACACGCCUGCCCGUCUGGAUUCUCAACACCGUCAAUCACAACAUCACCCCACUGCGCGCCUCCAACAACUACAUCCAUGGCUACCUCUUUCCCGUAUGACCUUCUCCCUUGUCCUCCUCCCAAGACUGCAGUUUUUGCAUCCCCAAGCAACAUGAGCAGCCAAUCUACAAGCUGAGGCUUUUCAUCUCCAUUACCCGGUGCUAGGAAACUCCAGUUUCAUUGUAUCCUAUCUCACCUGGGUUAUUUCUUUAUUUCAUCUUUAGAUAUGUUAUCCAAUAUGAACAAUCCAAUAUUAUUGCUUGUUCAAAUGCUAAUUUUUUAUCUGAAGUGGUAUUAUUCCCGUCAAAACAAACUUUGCGUUUUGCAAAUGAAUUGCUAGAUAAUUUUAAAUCGGUUUCCUAACAUAUUUUCACUAUCAAGUAGACAACAUCAUAACAUAUUACUUGGUUGGGUUGUACAUGUCAAGACUGUAUAUCCAUUUAUGAUAAAAGAAUCCGUACAAGUAUGUUCAUAUCCAAAUGCAGGAGGAAAGCACCAAAAGAGGCUAUGAGCUGGAGUGGGAGACUGCCACCAUUAUUUUUUCAAGAAAACUCAAAGUGCCUUUGUGUUUCUUUGCAUUAAAAAGAUAGGAGAUUAGCCUUACUAACAAGUAUUUUAUUUGUAUUUCAAUGUAAGAAAUUGUAAGUCCGUUAAAAUGUAGCAUACUUGAGCCAUUGUUUCUGGCAUUUGAUAUUGAGCUUACAGACUCUUAUUAUUAUAGAUUAGAUGGAAUUCUACUACCUUAAAUCGGAGCAAGUACACACUCAGUCAUCUAUCCUGGUGCAAUGCAAGAUAUUUGUCUGUUAUACUAUGAUGUAUAAUUGUAUU